GCGCCCGUAGCUCAGCUGGAUAGAGCGUUGGCCUCCGGAGCCAAAGGUCAGAGGUUCGAACCCUCUCGGGCGCG
rnacentral:tRNA from 1 species